AGCAUUAUACGGCGAAACUGCGAAUGGCUCAUUAUAUAAGUUAUCGUUUAUUUGAUAGCACCUUACUACUUGGAUAACCGUGGUAAUUCUAGAGCUAAUACAUGCUACAAAUCCCGACUUCGGAAGGGAUGUAUUUAUUAGAUUAAAAACCAAUGCCCUCUGGGCUCUCUGGUGAUUCAUGAUAACUUCGCGGAUCGCACGGCCUUGCGCCGGCGAUGGCUCAUUCAAAUUUCUUCCCUAUCAACUUUCGAUGUUUGGGUAGUGGCCAAACAUGGUUGCAACGGGUAACGGAGGGUUAGGGCUCGACUCCGGAGAAGGAGCCUGAGAAACGGCUACUACAUCCAAGGAAGGCAGCAGGCGCGCAAAUUACCCAAUCCCGAUACGGGGAGGUAGUGACAAUAAAUACUGAUACAGGGCUCUUUUGGGUCUUGUAAUUGGAAUGAGUACAAUUUAAAUCCCUUAACGAGGAACAAUUGGAGGGCAAGUCUGGUGAACAUUGCUGGCGCCAGAAAGAGCCACCCUCUGGUAAAUAAGUGGCUAGUCGAGUGCUCAUAUUGUGACGGGUGAGCACCGGCGAGACAACCUGGAUCGGGGGAGGCUAAGGGCCACUGCGGCCUAUGCUAAUCCCGAGCAGAGCCAGUUCUUCUGGCCUGUGUAGAGCGCGCCAAGGUGUCGGUCCCGAGGUCUUCUCGGGGCUUAAGGUACGUGCCAACCCCCUGUGAAAACAGGGCCCUGCGGAGUAGCACCCGUCGUGCAAUGCCGUAGGGAGCCUUUCUGAAAGGGAAGGCGCUAUAAAAAUGGCCAGCAGCCGCGGUAAUUCCAGCUCCAAUAGCGUAUAUUAAAGUUGUUGUGGUUAAAAAGCUCGUAGUUGAACUUUGGGCCUGGCUGGCCGGUCCGCCUCACCGCGUGUACUGGUCCGGCCGGGCCUUUCCCUCUGUGGAACCCCAUGCCCUUCACUGGGUGUGGCGGGGAAACAGGACUUUUACUUUGAAAAAAUUAGAGUGCUCCAGGCAGGCCUAUGCUCGAAUACAUUAGCAUGGAAUAAUGAAAUAGGACGUGCGGUUCUAUUUUGUUGGUUUCUAGGACCGCCGUAAUGAUUAAUAGGGACAGUCGGGGGCAUCAGUAUUCAAUUGUCAGAGGUGAAAUUCUUGGAUUUAUUGAAGACUAACUACUGCGAAAGCAUUUGCCAAGGAUGUUUUCAUUAAUCAGGAACGAAAGUUAGGGGAUCGAAGACGAUCAGAUACCGUCGUAGUCUUAACCAUAAACUAUGCCGACUAGGGAUCGGACGAUGUUAUAUUUUGACUCGUUCGGCACCUUACGAGAAAUCA
rnacentral:rRNA from 1 species